UCGAGGGCGGCAGCGGGAAGUAGCUUGCUACUUUUGCCGGCGAGCGGCGGACGGGUGAGUAAUGCCUGGGAAAUUGCCCAGUCGAGGGGGAUAACAGUUGGAAACGACUGCUAAUACCGCAUACGCCCUACGGGGGAAAGCAGGGGACCUUCGGGCCUUGCGCGAUUGGAUUAAUGCCCAGGUGGGAUUAGCUAGUUGGUGAGGUAAUGGCUCACCAAGGCGACGAUCCCUAGCUGGUCUGAGAGGAUGAUCAGCCACACUGGAACUGAGACACGGUCCAGACCCUACGGGAGGCAGCAGUGGGGAAUAUUGCACAAUGGGGGAAACCCUGAUGCAGCCAUGCCGCGUGUGUGAAGAAGGCCUUCGGGUUGUAAAGCACUUUCAGCGAGGAGGAAAGGUUGAUGCCUAAUACGUAUCAACUGUGACGUUACUCGCAAAAGAAGCACCGGCUAACUCCGUGCCAGCACCCGCGGUAAUACGGAGGGUGCAAGCGUUAAUCGGAAUUACUGGGCGUAAAGCGCAC
rnacentral:rRNA from 2 species